ensembl:lncRNA
AGAGUCACAUGACAUUGCGACCAUAGUAAUGUUUUCUAAAAUGCAAAACAUAUGGAUUUUUUUGGCCUGAUCAUAACCGCCAUGCUACAACCAUCACUGAUACUACUUAAAAGGCAGCCCGAAUCUAUGCAGAGAAGGGAUGAGAUCAUGUUUAAAGCAAGAAAACACUCCGUGCAGGUCAUCUUUUGUGAAGGACGCUGCGUUACAGCUAAUCUCUUCUUCACUUUCUUGGAGUCAAUGAGCAGGAAGCGGUUAACACUGCAAGCAGAACUUCCGAGGACAAACCAAAUCAACCUGUUCCAAAUGGUCACACCUUCCAAACAACGUCGUGUUCCAAAUUAAUAGGCCCUCCAACAACUCUCUGAUCUGCAAUAGCACACAAUCAGCUGAACUAAAGGUUCGUUGGGUGGAAAACAACAGUAAAAAACAAUAGGUGACAGGAGAGUACAAAAAGCUCCCAACAAGGCUUUGAGAAGAGGGAUAAUUCCCAGCGGCUCCAUGAUGGUGCUUGGCUCUCAAACCAAAUAAUAAAUCGAGACUCAUCAGACCAGGCAACAUUUUUCCAGUCUUCACCUGUCCAAUUUUGGUGAGCUCUUGCAAAUUGUAUCCUCUUUUUCCUAUUUGUAGUGGAGUUUAGUAGUACCCGGUGGGGUCUUCUGCUGUUGUAGUCCAUCCGCCUCAAGGUUGUGCGUGUUGAGGCUUCACAAAUGCUUUGCUGCAUACCUCGGUUGUAACGAGUGGUUAUUUCAGUCAAAGUUGCUCUUCUAUCAGCUUGAAUCAGUCGGCCCAUUCUCCUCUGACCUCUUGCAUCAACAAAGCAUUUUCACCCACAGGACUGCCGCAUACUGGAUGUUUUUCCCUUUUCACACCAUUCUUUGUAAACCCUAGAAAUGGUUGUGCGUGAAAAUCCCAGUAACUACCUACCUACCUGGAACAUUUUCCACCAGCCGCCAUUGUAAUCGUUUCUACACAACAUAUAUGCUGAAUACAUUACUCAGGGUCGGACUACUAGAUUAAUAGCAAAUCUCGGAACCGGUCAAAUCCCUUAUUAGACCGGGACAAGAGACAAUACCUCCGGGGUAUAGUGUAGCCAGCAGACAUCGGGUUCUGGACCGGUGUGCUAUUUGUCGUUCACAGUCUGAUUAUCAACUUGAGAUACAAGAUUGGAGUUGGUAUUGAUAGAUGACUUGUCCAACCGGGUUGUUUCACAAGUUUAAACACUCAUUUGAAAGCCACAAUGAAGUUAAAUCUUUGUUAGGCACCCAAUGGGUUCCGAGUUUGGAUUUGGGCCAAUGUAUCCACGUCUAUUGCUCUUCACUGUUUAACUGCAUUCAACCAAAGCUUGUUCAAACAAGUGUAGGCAAUACUACUUGGACUAUGACCUGAUUCCGUCCCUGCAGUUUCUGCAUAUGAAUGCAGACAGCCAAAUGGACUAUUCAGCCAUUCAUUGGCAGUACGAAGGUUGUGUUGAAACAUGCAGAUCAACGGAAACUUUUUCCGCGCACGCUGCCUUGACUUUUAGCUGCCAAAUCCCUGCUGACCAUAUCUGCUGCCGAAGGAAUGAUUUUUUACAACCAGAGAGAGUUUGAUUCUCAAGAGAAUUUGUGUGUAGAGAAUUUCAAGUCAAAAUCAUAUGGUCCUUAGUGUGCCCAGGAAAAUCAAUAAAAAAUCUGUACACCUAUUUACACCUACUUAUCUUAUUGCAUCGUUAUCACAAGUAUAAUCCUGCGCAGAUUGUCAAAAUUACGUUUUUUCUGACUUCUCAAGGCAGCCUCGUUACGUGUGACAGAUUUAGUCAGAUAUUGCCUGCAGUCCAGCAUGUGACUCCUACAAAAUUAGUAUCAGCAGGCCAGCCUGGCUAAAAAGGUUGAAUUUCGAGCUACAGGUGUGACCUGCUUAGGCCAUGAUUCAAUUAUCCAAAUGGACAAAGCUGUAGCUUGUACGGUUUGAUAUAUUGUCCGUGCAAACAUUUCAGUGAGCUGCUCCAUUGUUGAUAUACAGAAGAGGGAGCAGAACGGUUAUCUGUUGACUGGCAACAGUGUGGGCUGUAACAUUGGGAUAGCCCAGAAGCAGAUAGUAAAGAACCAGAGAUUGGUUUCAAGGCUUUUGGGUUGCCCUGCUGAUUCUCAGCUGAAUCAAAUUUUGAAAGGUUCACAUAAACUACAAACACAUAUUGUUUUACCUACUGUACCUAUGAAGGAAAUAUGCUCUGAUGCUGUCGUGGUUCUGUUUCUGCUCUUUAUCUCCUCUCUCCACCGGCCUGAGCAACGUGGCCUGGAUCCUCCAGCAGCGUGGUGUCGCCGUAGGCCUCUAGCAGACCAGGGUGGCAAAUUCGGAGCUCCAACCACCAACCAGUCGAAAGCAGCCGCAUGGCCAGAUCUCGGUUUUCAAGGUCAGAGGAAUCACAGCUGUCUGACGUCAAGAGCCUCAAGGGCAGCCGUUCUGCAUGCAACCGUUUAUGUAUGAGCAUAGGUGAAUCAGCUUUAAAGGCAGGUACUGAUUUCAUAUGAAAUCUACAAACUUAUGUGAUUUAACACUCUUGUCUGUAAUACUAUAUGGUUUGUGCUUGUGCUGAAAACACACGUUUUCAAGAAAGGGUAAAAAAUACAUAUUUUGUUUUUGUUGGUGUGUUUUAACUCUUAUGAACAAGCAAAAUGUGUUAUUAACAAACUUCAUUGUUAUUUUACUAGUUUACUAAAUGUGUAACUACUCUUUAAAACCUACAACAUGCAACAGAUAACGUGUGCGCAAUAUGUUUUACAACCACACAGACACACACACAGCCUCUGCUCCUCCUGCCCUCUCUGCCAGCUGUUCAGCUGCAUACGUGCCGUCUCACACAUCCACCCACAGCCUUCUUCUCAAACUAGUUAUUAUCAAAGCAAAUGCCUAGAUAACAGACUCUGGUGUGUCUCUUCUUCACAUUCAAAAGUGUUUUAAGAUCAUUCAUUUAUUGCUAACGCACUUGAUCAAAACACAAAUUUAUCUUUUCUCACGUUUUCCUGUCUUUUAUUGUCAUUUUCUGUUUAGCUUCCACACCCUAUUUAGGGUGUAUUGGACAAAAGGUGAUAUUGUAGUGAAUGUGACUUCAGAAUUCACGCUUGUUCUUAGUGUGGUUCUACACACUGUUGUUUCAUGCAGUUAUUUUGUCUGCAUGGUUUGACCAUGUUAACGUGGAUCUGGUUGGCCCUCUGCCCUCCUCUUCUGGUUUCACCUACCUGUUGACCAUGGUUGACAGGACCACCCGUUGGCCUGAGGCUGUGCCACUGACAUCGUUGGCAGCUGUUGAUGACACGGGCAUUUAACGGCACCUGGGUUGCCCGUUUCGGCACCCCUUCGGACAUAUCCUCUGACCGGGGCGUGCAGUUCACGUCUGAGCUGUGGAACACGGUGGCCCAGAGCCUCGGAGCGAAACUCCACCGUACGACUGCAUACCACUGCACUACUGGACAAUGCGAGGCUUUUCGCACCUGUCCCUACUUCCCGUCACGGCCUCCCUCAGUUGCACAUCCCUGCUGGGCUUCAGACGGCUGAAUACGUCUUUAUUCGCCACGACGCUCACAGGGGACCGCUACGCCCGCCCUACGAGGGCCCAUUCCGUGUCUUGGAGACGGGAGACAAACAUUUUGUGAUGGAAAUGGGUGGUAAACCGGAGCGACUCUCCAUUGACCGCCUCAAACCAGCUCAUUUGGACGUUGCUAGGCCCAUUUGAUAAUUAUUUUUUUUAUAUGGUGAAUUCUGGGGGGACGUGUGUAGUGAAUGUGACUUCAUAAUUCACCCUUGUUCUUAGUGUGGUUCAACACACUGUUGUUUCAUGCAGUUAUUUAAGUAAUGUGUUAUACACGUAAGUACAACUGUUCUGGGAUCGCGCCCCCUUUAAAUAUUCUGUUGUUGAGGAAUGAGAGCCCCAUGUUUGUGAGAUUACAGGGCUGCGCCAUAUUUGUUUGUUUGUUCAUUCGUUUUGUCAUGUAAAAAUAAACGAGACACACACUUGUGUACU